UCCUACGGGGCGCAGCAGUAGGGAAUUUUCGUCAAUGGGCGCAAGCCUGAACGAGCAAUGCCGCGUGAACGAGGAAGGUCUUCGGAUCGUAAAGUUCUGUCGAAGGGGAAAAAGAGCGGAGAGAGGAAAUGGUCUCCGAUUGAUAUUACCCUUCGAGGAAGUCACGGCUAACUACGUGCCAGCAGCCGCGGUAAUACGUAGGUGGCGAGCGUUAUCCGGAAUGAUUGGGCGUAAAGGGUGCGUAGGCAGCCUGCUAAGUCUGGAGUGAAAGGUACCGGCUCAACCGGUACAGGCUCUGGAAACUG
rnacentral:rRNA from 1 species